UUAGACAAACGCUGCAUUUUUUAUAAUGUAGAGGAAAGUCCAUGCUAGCACAAUCUGAGAUGAUUGUAGUGUUCGUGUAAGAGGAAAAAAUAACUCUUAGUAGUACUUUGUACUAACGGCUCCGAAUUAACCUAAGUCAAUUGAUAUGGUUAUAUUAGGUAUAAAAGUGCCAUAGUGACGAUUUUCUUUAGAAAUAAAGAAAGUGGAACGAGGUAAACCCCGCGAGCUAGAAACCCAAAUUUGGUAGGGGAACUCUAAUAGGAAAUUGAACCGAUUUAGGGACCGAAAGGUAGAUAAAUGUUUGUCACCCUAGUGGUACAGAACAUGGCUUAUU
rnacentral:RNase_P_RNA from 1 species